UACGAAGGGGGCUAGCGUUGCUCGGAAUCACUGGGCGUAAAGCGCACGUAGGUGGGUCGUUAAGUUGAGGGUGAAAUCCCAGGGCUCAACCCUGGAACUGCCUUCAAUACUGGCGACCUUCGAGUCCGGGAGAGGUGAGUGGAACUGCGAGUGUAGAGGUGAAAUUCGUAGAUAUUCGCAAGAACACCAGUGGCGAAGGCGGCUCACUGGCCCGAUACUGACGCUGAGGCACGAAAGCGUGGGGAGCA
rnacentral:rRNA from 1 species